CAAUAAGCGGAGGAAAAGAAACCAACCGGGAUUCCCCCAGUAACGGCGAGCGAAAAGGGAUUAGCCCAGUGUGAAAAUCACCAGCCGUUUUGUGCUGGUGAAUUGUAGUCUGCAGUGGCAGCUCCUGGGUGGCGCGCGGCCGAAGCAUCUUGGAACAGAUCGCCUCAGAGGGUGAGAGUCCCGUAGGCCAAGCAAAGCCCUGCACGGAGCGCUCACGGAGAGUCGGGUUGUUUGGGAAUGCAGCCCCAAUCGGGUGGUAAACCCCAUCUAAGGCUAAAUACCGGUGGGAGACCGAUAGCAAAAAAGUACCUCGAGGGAACGAUGAAAAGACCGCUGGCAAGCGAGUGAAAGAGUGCAUGAAAUUGUACAGUGGGAAGGGAUGGCCUGGCGUGAUGCGUCGGGGUAUACCCGGCUCGUGGAGCCGGUGAAUACAUCCGUGCGCUUGCAGGUGCCGGCACGCGUGGCCGCAGAUCUCACCAUGUGUGGUGGUAUUCGGGCGCGCGUGCUGAGGACGUGAUUGCUGCUUCUUAAACAUGCAGUGACAUAGCACCCGCCGAAGCUUGUCCAUCUGC
rnacentral:rRNA from 1 species